GAAAGAUCAAAAGUUCAGUUAAAAUAGAUCCAAAAAGGAGGUUUCAUGAUCAGUCGGGGAAUCCAAAUAGUGUACAAUCAAAAUCUUAAUUUUUCUUUGCACCCAAGUAUUGAGUUCACCUAGCAAAGAAAAAAACAUGGAUGGUUUGACGCCACCAAGGAU